GGCGGCUUUGGAGGCGGCCCGCGGCAAGGGGGUGGUGACCGCGGUGACCGUGGUGACCGCGAACGCGAGAAGUGCCAGAUUUGCAAGCAAGAAGGGCAUGGCGCAUGGCACUGCAAAAAACGCUACGAUCGCAACUUCAACAACAACGUCCGCAACCCCGCAGGAGGCGGUGGUGGCGGAGGACACGGCGGCGGUGGAGGACACCGCUCGGCCAAUGCUGCCCACGCCUAUGGUGUCGGUACCAAUUGGUAUCUUGACACCGGUGCAACUGAUCACGUGACGGGAGAACUGGAGAAACUUGCGGUUCACGAUCGCUACACCGGCACGGAGCAAAUCCACACUGCGAGUGGUCAAGGAUCGGGUCACUCGGAGAACCGUUCUUCAAAACAGGACUAG
rnacentral:rRNA from 1 species